AUUGAACGCUGGCGGCAGGCCUAACACAUGCAAGUCGAGCGGUAGCACAGAGAAGCUUGCUUCUUGGGUGACGAGCGGCGGACGGGUGAGUAACGCGUGGGAAUCUGCCUGGUAGUGGGGGACAACAGUCGGAAACGACUGCUAAUACCGCAUACGCCCUUCGGGGGAAAGUGGGGGAUCUUCGGACCUCACGCUAUCAGAUGAGCCCGCGUCGGAUUAGCUUGUUGGUGAGGUAAGAGCUCACCAAGGCGAUGAUCCGUAGCUGGUCUGAGAGGAUGAUCAGCCACACUGGGACUGAGACACGGCCCAGACUCCUACGGGAGGCAGCAGUGGGGAAUAUUGGACAAUGGGGGCAACCCUGAUCCAGCCAUGCCGCGUGUGUGAAG
rnacentral:rRNA from 2 species